AGAUUACUUAGGUUCUUAUCAUCUAGAAGAGAUUAAAAGGGAAAAAGGUAAAAGCCUUUGCAGCCCCCGCUACUGUGAAACCGACGAAACUAUUAUAAUAAGCCACUGUCAAAUUUGAUGGGAAGGUUAUAGGAGUAGGAUGAAGUUAAGCCAGGAGACCUGCCUAAGAUAAUU
rnacentral:ncRNA from 1 species